rnacentral:misc_RNA from 1 species
ACAGGUAAAAAAGCGUUUAAGCAGAUAUAAAGCGUUUAAGAAACAUAUAAAGAAGGUGUUUAAGAAACAGGUAAAAGGUGUUUAAGAAACAUAUCUGUUUCUUAAACAUAUCUUUUUGUUUUCUUUUGUUUUCUUUUAUCUGUCCCGAGGAAGGUUUUUACCGAUUUACUCCUGAGGGCUUGUAGCUCAGUUGGUUAGAGCGCGCGCUUGAUAAGCGUGAGGUCGGAGGUUCAAGUCCUCCCAGGCCCACCAAUUUAUGAUUGCUGAUAAAUUUGCUGAUAAGUUUUUUGUGAAUGUUUUGAUGGUCUUUUAUCUUACGAUCUUUCACUUUUAUGUUGCAAUCUUUCAAAAGUAUUUGAACUGUUUUAGGGGCC